rnacentral:rRNA from 1 species
GCGGUAAUACGUAGGGUGCGAGCGUUAAUCGGAAUUACUGGGCGUAAAGCGUGCGCAGGCGGUUUUGUAAGACAGGCGUGAAAUCCCCGGGCUCAACCUGGGAACUGCGUUUGUGACUGCAAGGCUAGAGUACGGCAGAGGGGGGUGGAAUUCCACGUGUAGCAGUGAAAUGCGUAGAGAUGUGGAGGAACACCAAUGGCGAAGGCAGCCCCCUGGGUCGAUACUGACGCUCAUGCACGAAAGCGUGGGUAGCAAAACAGGAUUAGAUACCCUGGUAGUCCACGCCCUAAACGAUGUCAACUAGGUGUUGGGUGGGUAAAACCAUUUAGUACCGGAGCUAACGCGUGAAGUUGACCGCCUGGGGAGUACGGCCGCAAGGUUAAAAACUCAAAAGGAAUUGACGGGGACCCGCACAAGCGGUGGAUGAUGUGGAUUAAUUCGAUGCAACGCG